GCAUUAAUGGGGUAGUGGUAACCUGGGUCGUUGCCAUGUGGUAAGUAGCAAACGUAUAACUCCACCCGCCGUGGAUUCGAUUCCCUCUUAAUGCA